rnacentral:rRNA from 1 species
UACGGAGGGAGCUAGCGUUGUUCGGAAUUACUGGGCGUAAAGCGCACGUAGGCGGCUUUGUAAGUUAGAGGUGAAAACCCGGGGCUCAACUCCGGAACUGCCUUUAAGACUGCAUCGCUUGAAUCCAGGAGAGGUGAGUGGAAUUCCGAGUGUAGAGGUGAAAUGCGCAGAUAUCAGGAAGAACACCAAUGGCGAAGGCAGCUCUCUGGGACGGUACUGACGCUGAGACGCGAAAGCGUGGGGAGCAAACAGG